UCUACCCAUUGGUCUGGAAUAACGUUGGGAAACUGACGCUAAUACCGGAUAUUCCCUUCGGGGGAAAGAUUUAUUGCCAAUGGAUGAGCCCGCGUCAGAUUAGUUAGUUGGUGGGGUAACGGCCUACCAAGACAACGAUCUGUAGCUGGUCUGAGAGGACGACCAGCCACACUGGGACUGAGACACGGCCCAGACUCCUACGGGAGGCAGCAGUGGGGAAUAUUGGACAAUGGGGGCAACCCUGAUCCAGCAAUGCCGCGUGAAUGAUGAAGGCCUUAGGGUUGUAAAGUUCCUUCGCACACGACGAUGAUGACGGUAGUGUGAGAAGAAGCCCCGGCAAACUUCGUGCCAGCAGCCGCGGUAAUACGAAGGGGGCUAGCGUUGUUCGGAAUUACUGGGCGUAAAGGGCAUGUAGGCGGCCCGAUAAAUUAGAAGUGAAAUGCCUGGGCUUAACCCGGGAACUGCUUUUAAGACUGUCGGGCUUGAAUCCGUGAGAGGACAGUGGAAUUCCCAGUGUAGAGGUGAAAUUCGUAGAUAUUGGGAGGAACACCAGUAGCGAAGGCGACUGUCUGGUGCGGUAUUGACGCUGAGAUGCGAAAGCGUGUGGAGCAAACAGGAUUAGAUACCCUGGUAGUCCACGCUGUAAACGAUGAGUGCUAGAUGUU
rnacentral:rRNA from 1 species